rnacentral:rRNA from 1 species
CCUACGGGUGGCUGCAGUGGGGAAUAUUGGACAAUGGGCGAAAGCCUGAUCCAGCCAUGCCGCGUGUGUGAAGAAGGCCUUCGGGUUGUAAAGCACUUUCAGUGGGGAAGAAAGCCUUGGGGCUAAUACCCUCGAGGAAGGACAUCACCCACAGAAGAAGCACCGGCUAACUCCGUGCCAGCAGCCGCGGUAAUACGGAGGGUGCGAGCGUUAAUCGGAAUUACUGGGCGUAAAGCGCGCGUAGGCGGUCUGAUAAGCCGGUUGUGAAAGCCCCGGGCUCAACCUGGGAACGGCAUCCGGAACUGUUAGGCUAGAGUGCAGGAGAGGAAGGUAGAAUUCCCGGUGUAGCGGUGAAAUGCGUAGAGAUCGGGAGGAAUACCAGUGGCGAAGGCGGCCUUCUGGACUGACACUGACGCUGAGGUGCGAAAGCGUGGGUAGCAAACAGGAUUAGAUACCCUUGUAGUC